rnacentral:rRNA from 1 species
UACGAAGGGGGCUAGCGUUGCUCGGAAUUACUGGGCGUAAAGCGCACGUAGGCGGAUUGUUAAGUCGGGGGUGAAAUCCUGGAGCUCAACUCCAGAACUGCCUUCGAUACUGGCGAUCUCGAGUUCGGGAGAGGUGAGUGGAAUUCCUAGUGUAGAGGUGAAAUUCGUAGAUAUUAGGAAGAACACCAGUGGCGAAGGCGGCUCACUGGCCCGGUACUGACGCUGAGGCGCGAAAGCGUGGGGAGCAAACAGG